AGUUUGAUCCUGGCUCAGAACGAACGCUGGCGGCAGGCCUAACACAUGCAAGUCGAGCGAGGACUUCGGUCCUAGCGGCGGACGGGUGAGUAACGCGUGGGAACGUGCCCUUUGGUACGGAAUAGCCCCGGGAAACUGGGAGUAAUACCGUAUGGUGUCUUCGGACUAAAGAUUUAUCGCCAAAGGAUCGGCCCGCGUUGGAUUAGGUAGUUGGUGGGGUAAUGGCCUACCAAGCCGACGAUCCAUAGCUGGUUUGAGAGGAUGAUCAGCCACACUGGGACUGAGACACGGCCCAGACUCCUACGGGAGGCAGCAGUGGGGAAUCUUAGACAAUGGGGGCAACCCUGAUCUAGCCAUGCCGCGUGAGUGAUGAAGGCCCUAGGGUUGUAAAGCUCUUUCAGCUGGGAAGAUAAUGACGGUACCAGCAGAAGAAGCCCCGGCUAACUCCGUG
rnacentral:rRNA from 1 species